UACGGGGGGAGCAAGCGUUGUUCGGAUUUACUGGGCGUAAAGGGCGCGUAGGCGGCGCAACAAGUCACUUGUGAAAUCUCCGGGCUUAACCCGGAGCGGCCAAGUGAUACUGUCGUGCUAGAGUGCGGAAGGGGCUACUGGAAUUCUCGGUGUAGCGGUGAAAUGCGUAGAUAUCAUGAGGAAGACCAGUGGCGAAGGCGGGUCUCUGGACAGUUCCUGACACUGAGGCACGAAGGCCAGGGGAGCAAACGGG
rnacentral:rRNA from 1 species